rnacentral:rRNA from 1 species
ACACUCCUGCGGGAGGCAGCAGUGGGGAAUUUUGGACAAUGGGCGAAAGCCUGAUCCAGCAAUGCCGCGUGUGUGAAGAAGGCCUUCGGGUUGUAAAGCACUUUUGUCCGGAAAGAAAUCCUUGGCUCUAAUACAGUCGGGGGAUGACGGUACCGGAAGAAUAAGCACCGGCUAACUACGUGCCAGCAGCCGCGGGAAUACGUAAGGUGCGAGCGUUAAUCGGAAUUACUGGGCGUAAAGCGUGCGCAGGCGGUUUGCUAAGACCGAUGUGAAAUCCCCGGGCUCAACCUGGGAACUGCAUUGGUGACUGGCAGGCUAGAGUAUGGCAGAGGGGGGUAGAAUUCCACGUGUAGCAGUGAAAUGCGUAGAGAUGUGGAGGAAUACCGAUGGCGAAGGCAGCCCCCUGGGCCAAUACUGACGCUCAUGCACGAAAGCGUGGGGAGCAAACAGGAUUAGAAACCCUAGUAGUCCCAUGA